CUGCUUCUUGUUGUGCCCCGCCGCCCAUGACCGCCUCGACUGCAAAGGGCUGGAGGCGGUGUGGCGCGACAACUGUCCCCUGGCCACAAACCUCAUCACCGCCUGCUUACGCUGCAUCCUGCUGCACCGGGACCAUGCGGGGGCAGUGGCGCACACACACGAGGUGAUCUCGGACCUGCUGUGUAACCGUGUCAUCUUGCAGCUUGUCAUCACCAAGGAGCUGAGGCGGGUGGCCUCGUCCUACACCGCCCAACAGGCCCACGUGCAGCUGGUUGAGAGCAUGUGGCAGCAGGAUCCUGGCAGUGCCCCCGCCCUGGG